ensembl:lncRNA
GUGUCAUGAUAUCAAUGAGGCUUGACUACACAAGGUUUUUGCUACCCUCAGCUUGCAGACAUCUUGUCUGCCGAGAUUAGGGGCGCUGGCCUCGGGACGGACGUUCUGUCCCGUGAGGGUAAACAAUCCUCUGUAUGUGCGUAACCAUCCCCAUGUUUGGAUGCCAUCCGUGCAGUAUAUAUUGCUGCUCCAAAGAUGAAAACCUUUGAGCGGGCUUGGCGCAUGACUUGUAUGUGUGUCAACUCUGUCUCCUGUUUGCGAACAUUAAAAAACCUGUUUUGAUGAUUUUACGCCAGUGUAGAGUGAGAAUUUUUCUGACAUAUUUGGUCCUUCGAACCGGAUAUCAACAACUCUUUUUUCCUUUCAAGUUUGGACCUGAAACUGUACGGGGGAGUCUGGGACUCUUUUCCAAUAAGUCCUCCGCCCCAAGUCUGUUACAGGAUUGGUUUGGAUUGUUGAGAGGCCAGGUUCUACUUGAGGUGGAUGGGAGUGACGAGAUCUGUUAACUAGCGAACGGUGUUUUUUCUUCAAUACAGGUAAGAAAGCUUUCGAGGCAGUCUCUGGGUUUCGGUGGAAGGUUUUAUAAGAGGGAACUCUUGAUUUCGGAGUUCAGUGUCUGUGUUUGGGGGAAGGUUUUCUUUAGGACUCUCUUUGGGCAUUUGGGAGGAGUAGUUGUUUUGUCUAAACAGGGGGUUUGGGGAAAUGUUCUAUGGGUAUUAUUGGGGUUGCCCUUAACCUGGCGUGAGUUGCCGCAGGACAAGGACUGGGGUGCAAUCUUCAGGGGUUUUUCUUGGAAUCUUCUAUAGUGUUUUUACCUUUAGCCCGGCACAAAUAGGUGCGGAGGCCUGGAGACUGGGGUUGUUUCUGAUAACCUUGACAGGUCUAAAAACAGGAAUCGGGUUGUUUCUGAAAACCGUGUGAAACCGUAAGUACUAAAAACAGAAAUUGGUGGUUUUGGAGUUCCAUUGUCAGUAAGGCAUAAAAACGAGAAUCGGUUGUUACGGGGUCGCUUGUCAGUAAGACUAAAACCAGAACAGCGGUUAUCUAUUGACCGUGGGGAUCCCAACCAAUAGUUUUAAUUAAAAGCGCGAAUAAAAAAAAUAUAUAUAAAUAUAAAAACACUAUUAAAUAGAAUAAUAACAGUAUAAAAUGGGGUCGCUCCUCAGUAAAAAACGUUGAGAUGAGAAACUGCGUGGUUGAACGAAAAAAAAAAGGGGGUUUGGAAAAGACGUCAUACAGAGGCGCAAGGAGGGAGUAAGAAGAAAUGGUGAGAAAAGUAAAUAACAGGAGAUGUGGUGAUUUGUGAUUAAUUCUCCUGAUUUGGUUCUUCAUUUUAAGAUGUGAUAUAGGGGAGACAUCUUCCUGCAGCUCUCUCUCCAGCCUUCAUCCACCCGUCACGUCCUCCGCCACCUCCUCAGUCCCCAUCACAACCCACAGCGCUGGUCCCACAGCGCCCGAGCCCAGACCUUGUGUCUGCAUUAACCAAAGCUAUGAGCCAGAACUUCCACAUCCAGCUACAGGCCACACUGCAUGAAAAGUGAGAUUUUCGUCCCCGUAAACGCCCGGAAAUCUCCUUAAUUUCCGACAAUUUCCGACAAUUUGCAACCCGCGCACGUCGAGUUUGUCUGUGCCACAAAUUGUCGGAAACGAAACCGGAUGACGUAUGUGGAGAGCUGGCGGAGGUGCGAAUGGCCCAAAUUAGCAUAUGAAUGCAGCGAAACCGCGGGUGGCCGAGCGGAGCGGGCUUGAAUAUCCUUACUCCUUAUUGGAUGAAACCACAACUUACUAACAAAUAAAAUCACUCGUGAUUGGCAGCAAAACCACACGUGGGCAGACCAGGCUUGAGUUUCCUUGUUCUUGAUUGGAUGAAACCACCACUUUCAAUCACUCGUGAUUGGUUGGCAGAUCUGUCGCUAUUGGUCACCCGCCUCCUUUUAUUUAUAUAUUCAUAUUAUGCUGUAUAUUCAUUUCAUGCUGCCCCAGGCUGCCCCAUGUUCCAUGUCGAAGUGUCCCUGAGCAAGAUACCUAACCCCUAAUUGCUCCCCGGGCAAAAUGUGAAAAAGUGUAAUGUCGCUGGAUAAAAGCGUCUGCUAAAUGACCUGUAAUGUAAAUGUAAUGUGAGCUCUACGGUGGCGGAGUUCCACCUCGUCAUCAGCCAGCACACUUUGUCUCGAUUCCAGCAGCUGUAAAAACAACAAUGAAUCAGUACUGUGCGAUGCGAUACGUAUGGACACAACACAUCAAUGCACCUGAAAAAGUCAGCAAAUAAACUCUGACCCUCUUUCUUCUCGCUCGACUCCGCGCUGAAUCCUUCGCAGCUUCCACUCGCAAUGAGUGUUCCGGCUGAACCUGAAGCUCCUGCGUCCCGUCUCAAGAUACGUCUCACAUGCGGCUGGAAAACAAUUAAAUGAGUGUGGUAUGAAUACAAAAAUCAAACGCAAGUCACAGUAACAUUGAACAAGGAAGGAGAAACAGUAAACAGUGUCACUUACACACAAUGACGUCGUCUAAAUCUGGACUUUUCCCGGAGCAAAUACGAGGUCACCGCCUCAUUAUGAGGCGAGAUUAGUCUGAAAACAAAAUGUACAGUUAUGAUCGGUAUCUAUACGUAUACAUUCCCUUAUACCGCAGAAUGAAAGCAUAUUCUGUAAAUCUUACCCUUGCUCCGGUUCGUAGCGCCUGUAGUUCGUCUCGGAGUUGUGAAGACGGCGCACCGCUUCCUGUAAACGACACGGCAAAGAAAACACACUUUAAUAAAGCUGUUUCUGCUCACUUGUAAGGCUACUCUUAGCUUAGCUUGAGGCUACGCUACUUUUAGCUUAGCUUGCAGUCAUCGAACAUAUUCUUACCGCUAUCUUGGGAUUGUGCGCCCGUCUCCUCUUCUUUGAGUCAGUUCCUCUCCUCCAUGGACAGAAACCCGCAGAGUCCCGAACGCUCCAGUGGAGCGAACCGCUCGUUGAUAUCGGCAGUUUGUUGUUGGAGUUGACGAGACGAUCCACUGAGAGCAUUCAGCAGCUUCUUCUCGUCUGUCUGCGGACUGGCCGAAAGUUGGUGACCACGGAAAGGAGUUGAAGGCGAGUUGAACGCGAGACGUCGUCCCGCCAUUAUUCACGAAGCAGCAAAAACCAAACAAAGGAACUGGAGAUACAGUUCUUCUGACUAUAGUAACACACACGUGUCUGUUUGUAUGCUCGUCUUGCAAGUACUGCUGUAUCAGUCAUGCCUAUGACCUCACACGUGAUUGGACGAGGAGUCUAAGGGUCCUCCAAUCACAUACGAGGUUAUUGUUAUACGGAAGGACCAGUAUUUUAGGAAGACAAAUGGUUGGGACUUUGAAACAGCUGAUGUGCUUUAUGUAAAGCAGUGUUUUGGUGUCAGCAGAACGACUUUCCCUAGAAAACUGUACAGUGGUGCCUCUUUCUCCAUUCCACCAGACAAUCUUGGAUGAGUCUGACAGACAUGCAAUGUUGACAAUGUAUCAUCACAUGUACCCUUGUGUCACUGAGGUUGAAUGUUUUGCCAUGACAUGUAAACGGGUAACAUAUAUGAAUGUAACUUAAUCGAUAGAUGCAGAGCAUAAAGGUCAGCAUAUGUUCAUGCUAAGUGGUGUGGAAACACUAACAGUUUUGAGGAACCCGUCCUUGACCCUCUAGCAGAACUACGACCAGCCAUUGUAAAGCAGUUUAUAGUUGUUAAUGUUGUGUCAAAGGGUACGGCAUUUAAACAUGUUCUUGCACAAGUUUCCUGGCUUCAUCCCCACCCGGACAGACAUUUUUAUGGAAAGCCAAUAGAAGUUUGGGGCUUGCAGGGAACAGACACGUCAUACAGCAUCAUUUCUGCCAGUUGAGCGCAUUGCUAGAAGAUGUGUGGUUAAUACAUCCUCUGUGCAUUUAAGAAGACCAAAGAAAA